AUCGAACGCUGGCGGCAGGCCUAACACAUGCAAGUCGAGCGAGCGGCGGACGGGUGAGUAAUGUAUGGGGACUGCCCGAUAGCGGGGGAUAACUACUGGAAACGGCGGCUAAUACGGCAUACUGUCGGAUAACCCAUAUGGGAUUAGAUAGUAGGUAAGGUAAUGGCUUACCUAGGCGACGAUCCCUAGCUGGUCUGAGAGGGUGAUCAGCCACACUGGGACUGAGACACGGCCCAGACUCCUACGGAGGCAGCAGUGGGGAAUAUUGGACAAUGGGCGCAAGCCUGAUGCAGCCAUGCCGCGUGUAUGAAGAAGGCCCUAGGGUUGUAAAGUACUGUCAUUCGGGAGGCGUUACCGAAAGAAAAAGCACCGGCUAACUCCGUGCCAGCAGCCGCGGUAAUAC
rnacentral:rRNA from 1 species